UGGGGAAUAUUGGACAAUGGGCGCAAGCCUGAUCCAGCGACGCCGCGUGUGUGAAGAAGGCCUGCGGGUUGUAAAGCACUUUCGAUGGGAACGAAAUGUGCCGGGUUAAUACCCCGGUAAGCUGACGUUACUCAAUGAAGAAGCACCGGCUAACUCUGUGCCAGCAGCCGCGGUAAUACAGAGGGUGCGAGCGUUAAUCGGAAUUACUGGGCGUAAAGCGCACGUAGGUGGCGACGUAAGUCGGGUGUGAAAGCCCCGGGCUCAACCUGGGAAUUGCAUUCGAGACUGCAUUGCUGGAGUACGGAAGAGGAGGGCGGAAUUCCCGGUGUAGCAGUGAAAUGCGUAGAGAUCGGGAGGAACAUCUGUGGCGAAGGCGACCAUCUGGGCCAGCACUGACACUGAGGCACGAAAGCGUGGGGAGCAAACAGGAUUAGAUACCCUUGUAGUCCCUGAGCGGGCUGGCAAGGCGCAU
rnacentral:rRNA from 1 species